UGCAUUAGAGUUUGAUCCUGGCUCAGAACGAACGCUGGCGGCGUACUUAACACAUGCAAGUCGGACGAGAAAGGAGACUUCGGUCUCUGAGUACAGUGGCGUACGGGUGCGUAACACGUAAGUAAUCUGCCCCGAACUCUGGGAUAACCCUCCGAAAGGAGGGCUAACACUGGAUAGGGUCCCCGAGGUGUAGGCUGCGGGGGGAAAACGGGCCUCUGUUCCAUGCUCGUGGUUUGGGAUGAGCUUGCGGCCCAUUAGCUUGUUGGUAGGGUAAUGGCUUACCAAGGCGACGAUGGGUAGCUGGUCUGAGAGGAUGAUCAGCCACACUGGCACUGAGACACGGGCCAGACUCCUACGGGAGGCAGCAGUGGGGAAUUUUGCGCAAUGGGCGAAAGCCUGACGCAGUAACGCCGCGUGGAGGAUGAAGGCC
rnacentral:rRNA from 1 species